CGCCGCGCGCGCGGCCUCAUCUCUGCCUAUCCGGAACUCGGCCGUCCGGCCACCAAACCGGACGCCACUGGUCCCGUUCGGUACGCACAGGCCUCCUCUCCAUUUCUGGGGCUGCACCGCUCGUUGUCUCGCCGCCUAGACGCCGCUACAAGGCGGUGGAGGUGUUUCGGUCUCGCCGGAAAUUCUCCCUUCGACGGCAACAUAGGUCGAAACUUGAUUUGAAGCUCGAGCUUGUGGCGGUUGUUUGGAGCAGUUUAAGGCCGAUUCGAGGCUAGUCUCAGAGCAAUGGCGUUCAUCAAGGCCUCCGAACCCCGCGCCUACUUCACGUGCUUCCAGUUCAAAUACAAGUGCCGCCGCAACAAUCUGCUUCAUAGGCGUUGAUUCAGCAGUCAUCUCUUUCUUUAAACAAAAUUGAUAUGAAGAUCUCUGACGGUUAUUAUUAGAGUUACCAUGGGAAAAAGUUUCUAAAAAGAGAUAAAAAAAACCUACUACCGAUGCAAGUCGGCUCAUUGCCGUGUGCAAAGAUGUGAGGAAGAUACGACAGUUCUUAUCAUUACUUAUUUUGGUAGUCACAACCACCCUAAACUCACAUAAAUCCUCAUACCUAGUUAAGUGAAUCUUUAGCAUGCAUAUAUUUCCGUCGGUGGUCGAGGAUGAGGAUUAUGACGUUGGCAGCUUGGAACGGUUGAGCUCAACGCCGGAGUGGUGGGAAACACCGGAGGAGUUGGCUCAUUUGCCUUUAACGGAAGAGUGCCUCGAGAAAUACAUCUGAAUGUUAUCACAGAUCUAUUAUGUUACACGCUUUCCUGUCCAUGAGGAAUCUGAAAACGACCGCUCUACUUCAUCUCGCCCUAUAUGCCAAAUUGCUGCUAGAGCAGGACAUACUAUUAUUUAUUGCUACAACAGACUCAAUCUAGCCUAUAUGAAGGGAGAGUUCCAUCCAAAAGACUCAGUGCUAUGGCUGCCUCCAUUACCACACCUGCUUCCUCUACAUGGUUGCUCGACACCGGUGCAAAUUCACAUGUCACUGCUGAUUUGGGGAAUCUGCAAUAUCAAACCGUCAUGGUAAUGAUCAAAUCAAUGGCAUAGGUACUGCUACUCUUCCUAUUUCUCAUAUUGCCUCCAAUUGAAUAACGAUACUUUCACUCUUAAUAAUAUACUUCUUUAUGUUUUCAUGGAUUUUGUAAACAAGAUCAUAAAGGACAGUUUAUUUUGAGCAUAUGGUCAGAUUUUUGCAGGAGCUCAAAUAAACAUACAGGUAUCAUAUCUCGUUGGUGGUUCAUGUUAUAUAUUGCUGUUGCACAGUAGUUUUGGAAUUCAAUUAACUUGUUAGUUAUUUGUUGUUCCUUAGCUCAAUGUUGUAGUGAUAUAUAGACAGAACUUUGAAAUGGUUAUUGAGACUGUAGCACCUUGUGCACACUCCAGAAAAAUCUCAAUAUUGAUAUUCUGAAUUUCACGUUAUGAAUUCAUGCACAGUUGUCCUCUUAACUUGCUGUACUAAAAAUGCAAAUUCAGAAGGGUUCGAUUUUGGUGGUGAGAAUCAACUUAGUUAGUUGUGGAUGAAGGUUUUGUUAUGUUAAUUCUUUGUGUUCCAUAAUCUUUUUAAUUUCUGAUAAAUCUAACCUCCAAGAACAAUGAAGAUAUUGAAACAAAGUAGAAUCAAUUUGAGUGGUGCAGUGUUAUUUACCUUAGCAUAAGGGGAAUAGUACUUAUAGCCUUCAUUAUGGUUUCCACAUAUCAUUAACUUGUUUAACAUAUAUAUAUCUGUUUGCCCUAUGACUCUAGAAGUGUCCAGAAUCAGUACUGAUAUACGGUCCUUCAGAGAUCAAUGUCAUCAGCUGAUUCCAUAUAUAUGCCUAUACGAUCUAGCACUGGCCCAACGAUGAACAUCUCUAUCUCGAAUUAGAAGGAAAAUUUUCUGUGACAAGGAUCAAAUCCAGUACUCUAAACAAACUCUGUUACACCCUUUGUGUUGUGCGCAUCGCGUUCGAGUUUCGACCAUUACAAACUCUUAGUUUAUGAUGUUUUCCUAACCUAUAUUGGCCUUGAUUUUGGCACCACAUGAACUUGGGAGCUUUGGAACCAAGAAAUCCUUAGCAGCUUCUUAACCUGUAGCUUGUGUUUUCAUCAAUGUACACUCCUUUCUUGGUCCAAGUUAGUUACAAUUACAAAGACGCACACUGAAUCGAAGCUAUAUAUUUGAGUACUGCAUAGUUUUCUUGCUAACAAACAAGCCAUGUGGACUAUGGAGUGUCUGCCUAUCUCCCUCUCUAUUCCAUGUGACCAGCUUCAUCG